rnacentral:tRNA from 3 species
GUCCUCUUCGUCUAGUGGUUAGGACACCGCCCUUUCACGGCGGCAACAGGGGUUCAAAUCCCCUAGAGGACA